CCUACGGGGGGCUGCAGUAGGGAAUCUUCCGCAAUGGACGAAAGUCUGACGGAGCAACGCCGCGUGAGCGAAGAAGGUCUUCGGAUCGUAAAGCUCUGUUGCCGGGGAAGAACAAGUACGGUAGGAAAUGGCCGUGCCUUGACGGUACCUGACUAAGAAGCCCCGGCUAACUACGUGCCAGCAGCCGCGGUAAUACGUAGGUGGCAAGCGUUAUCCGGAAUCACUGGGUGUAAAGGGUGCGUAGGCGGUAGGGCAAGUCAGAUGUGAAAGCCCGGGGCUCAACCCCGGGACUGCAUUUGAAACGGUCUUACUAGAGUGCAGGAGAGGAAAGCGGAAUUCCUAGUGUAGCGGUGAAAUGCGUAGAUAUUAGGAAGAACACCAGUGGCGAAGGCGGCUUUCUGGACUGUAACUGACGCUGAGGCACGAAAGCGUGGGGAGCGAACAGGAUUAGAUACCCUUGUAGUC
rnacentral:rRNA from 1 species